GUAGACCUUGUUGAUAUAGUGAGGAUAACUCACCUCGAAACUGCCGGCUGAUAGGAUAAGAUCCCGCUGCUCCAAACUCCGACACGAACUCCUCCACUGAACACCAAAACACUCAACUCAAUAAAUACCCUUAAUUACCAAAAUACCCCUGAAAGACAACUGGUCAACCUUUGGACAAGGUCAAAGUCAACCCCUGACUAACUCUACUCGCCGAGUCANGAACACCAAAACACUCAACUCAAUAAAUACCCUUAAUUACCAAAAUACCCCUGAAAGACAACUGGUCAACCUUUGGACAAGGUCAAAGUCAACCCCUGACUAACUCUACUCGCCGAGUCAACCCGAUGACUCGCCGAGUCCCCAUACUCAGAACUUCCCUCAAUCCGCGACCUAACUCGCCGAG
rnacentral:lncRNA from 1 species